CUUUGUAAACAUGGAUGGUUUCAAACUGAAGGAAUUCCAUGCUCAAAAUAAUGACAAAAUACAAUACAUAUCGCAUAUCCAUAGCAAGCAAGAUUCGUUACUGUUCGCGAUAUUAUGACUUGUAUCUAAAAUAAUUACGAAGCUUCGUAUUUACCCGCUGUUCUAAAAAGAGAGGCAAAGGAUAUUACCUGUUUUCGAAAAAAAAAUGUGUACCAAAAUGCCUGCGAUGCAGCUUCCGAGGCAGACGACAUUCGUUGUGAUUUUGAUUUACUGCUUAGCGUGCAGUGAUGGCACUACCACAACUGCGACAACAACAACCACAGGACCAAAUUUAACAACUACACAAAGUAACGACGCAACUACCACUACUGGUUCAACAACUGCACAAAGUAACGACGCAACUACCACUACUAGUUCAACAACUACACAAAGUAACGGCGCAACUACCACUACUGGUUCAACAACUGCACAAAGUAACGACGCAACUACCACUACUGGUCCAACAACUACACAAAGUAACGGCGCAACUACAAGUACUGGUUCAACAACUACACAAAGUAACGACGCAACUACACAAAGUAGCGAUGCAGGGGCACAAAUACAACAGUCUGGUUGGUUAAUAAUUUUUACGAGUGUGUUGCUUGUUGCUAUGGUUAUUUGGCAAUCCUCACAUUGCUAAAAGUUAAAAGAAAUGCAAACGGGCUACUCGAGGUACCAGUUAUUUUGUUGGUUAGUGUUGUGUACAUGUGAUGGACACCUGACAAUUCUGGCAUAAUUUGAAUUUCGAAUUGCUUCAGAGUGAUUAUUAAUUUGACAUGUGUCUAGAGUGGACAGACCAAUGCUCGGCGUAAAAGCUACAUAUUUUAAAUCUAAAAACUGAUUUAACAUUAACUUACCGUACUUCUUUAUCGUCAGUUUGUAGAACAAUCUACGAGUAUUCAACCAUAUUGUUUACAUAUUUCUAGUCGCAUGGUGACGCAAUAGGCGGGAGCCAAAAAUAGUACCAGUAAAACCUGUGCGGUUCGUGCGGAAGUAUACCAACGCUCGGCGUACGGCAUAUUAAUCUGCAGGUUGUAAUUUUGAACUAUUUUAUGCAUUAAAGUGAAGUAUAAGACAUAUCUAACACAAAACAUAGGUUAUAUUGAUUAACUAUUUUUUUUAAGUACAUAAACAUGUACGUAAAUUACCCAUCUCUCUAUUCUGCAUCUAUAAAUUGAAUAAACACAUUUUAUACAGUUAUCUUAAGAAAUUCAUUUGAAGUUAAUUUGUCACAAUUAUGUGAGUCUAACUACAUGAUAUCAAUAACUGAUGAUAGUUGAUGAUAUAUUUCCAUUAUUUUUGGAAAUCUUUUCAAAAGUACCAUUUGUCCACAUAGUAUAUCAAUUACUUGAACAGCAUAAGCUACAGAAAAGUGAAGUACAAUGGGUCCGUAUAAAAUGCCAUGAUAAAGGUUUAUAGUUUAUUUAAGUAUAAAGAAAUAAAAUAAUUUAAAAGAAAAAUGUUUUUUCUCCAAAAUUCCGCCCGCAAGCUACUUUUGUAAAACCUGUUUUACCAGAAAAUCUGUUUUAAUGAGAGUAGAACACAAAAUUGAAUGGCUUUUAGCCUUGCAUCGUCUGCUCUACUGUGACCACGUGACCAUACCGGAAAUGAACCGCACUUUGAUAAAAUCACGCGUGAUGUAAACAAACGAAAUGGGACUCACAAGAGCUGAUAUUUUAAAUAUAUAUUAAGAAAUUCCCAGAGAAACGUGAUAUACGCCGAGCGUUGAUAUGCGCCGAGCACUGGUCUGCCCACUCUACAUAUUUGCUAAUUUGUGCAUUCACUUUUUCUUCCCGCCAUUAUCCAUAACAUCGCUGUAUAAGUGUACCAUGUUUAUUACUUUGAAUGAUCCAUAAACAACAUCUAUUUUUUUUUAUCUACGUUGUUUAUUUUUAUGUCAUUAUUGUCUGCACAUUUUCUUUCGUUAGUGUUAUGAAAUUGCCUCUGAAACAUUUCCUUCUGACUAAAUCAGCUGUGUAUAAUACGUAUUUCAGUACUGUCACAAAUCAAGUUUUUGUUUUCUUCCUUCAUUUAUUAACACAUUUCGCCCUCUUUUUAUUUUACCACAAAGUGCCAUUUUUUGUAGUGUUAUCAUUUUUAUAUAACAUGCUGUUAUUCCGGCCUGUCUCGACGGGUCGGUAGUAUGAUACGAUUUCUUUUUGUUCUGAAAACAACGAUAAAGAGAGACGCAUUCGAAUAACAGUUUACAGUUUAUUGAAUAAGCUGGGCCUCAUAGAGGCAUCAGUCACAUAAAACAAUAAUACAAUGAACAUUACUGACAAAAAUCCUAUAAAAUCCAAAGAAUAAAAUGAUACAAAUGUUAUACAGAAAGCAUAGUCAAGAAUGUAAUAAGACUACAUACCAUACAUACAGUGUAAACCAACUAAUUAAACGACAUCAUAUUUUUUUUUGCAGAAUAUUGCAAGGUUUAACAAUGUGUUUCUAUCUGUGCUAUUCAUUAACAUGGAAAUUCAAUAGAAUUAGGACGUGUAGCAUGUUCUCUAGCAAUAUACUUUCUUCUAUCUUCACUUAAGAAUUGACAGUUAAAUAAAGAAUGAAAUUUAUCACCAAAUGUGUUUGAAGUACACAAGUUACAUACCCUUAGUUCUCUUGGUAUAUUAUAAAUUCUAUCCUUUUCAACAUUUGUGAUACAUACAUCUAAAAUGAAACAAUACUUUUGCCAGAUGUGUAGGUAAUAUAUCCAAAUAAUUUUCAAACCUAAAUUCAUUCUUGUAUAUUCUAUAAUUCAAACAUUUGCUAGAUUCUGUUACAUCACUAUACCAGUUUUGAAUGAAUUGAUCUUUAAGUCUAUUUUUAACAAUAUUUUUAAACAAGGAAGGUGAAGUGACAACAUUGCUAAUCCAAUAGUUUGAUAAACCCAAUGAAUCUAAUAAGGAAGCUUAACCAUAUCAUUAAUAUACAGGGUGUAUGAGGUAAUAUAUAAUAUACGACAUAGUUUUUCAUGUUUGCUAUUCAAAAUCUUAUUCCAAAAACAUAAUAUCCUACUCUUAAUAUGAACAGAUAACGGUAAUAUCCCCAGAUCCCCAUAAAACAUACAAUUUGGAGUACUCUGUUUCAAGUUCAAAAUAAGUUUGUAAAAUUUUAGCUGAAAUUUGUCUAUAGCAUCAACAUUCUCUAUCCUCAAAGACUUCAAUUUCAUAUAACAAUAUAGGUGCUAUCAUACUGUCAAAUAAACGUAUUUGCAUACUAAUAGGUAAAUUCAAUUUUCUAGCUUUAACUAGAACAGAAAACAUGGCUUUUCUUGCUUGUUCCAAUAAGUGAUUCUUUGUUUUUACAAAUUUACCAUUGUAUGAAAAUUUAACACCAAGAUAUGAGAAAUGAUCAACAACCUCUAGCAUACUACCCUCAAAGCUGAAAGAUGGAAGAUUACGUAAAACCUCUUUUACUUUUCUAAAAGACUACAAUUUUUGUCAUUGGAAGGAUUGACUUGUAGAUGCCAUAAAUUACAGUAAUUUGACAUUGCAUCUAAUGCCCUUUGUAGUUCUUCGGCAGACUCGGCAAAAUUACUGUAUUAUCAGCAUAUAAAAGAAUGUAUAAUUUAAAGUAUAUUUCAACAUCAGAGUCACUCAAAGUAUCAUACACAAUGUAAGACAUCAUAAUUAAACCACUAAAAUGUCGUGAAAGAAAAUGAUUUAAAUCAUUCAAAAAUAAAGCGAAUAAUACCGGUGAAAGAUUUUCACCCUAGCGAACACCUGCAUGACUAGUAAAAAAUUCAGACAUCUUACUAAAAGAGUUUACUUUGACACAAGAUUUAGCUUGUAGAUACAUGUUAUAGAUAAUUUUAAUACAUUUACCUGUAACGGCCCAGUGUCUCGAAUGUCUCGACAUUUAUUUGAUAUCAUGGAAUUCUGAAGUUUCCUACUUUUAUUCACCAACUGUCAGUUAAGAAUAGAUAAAGACUAAGUUUUAUCAUUGUUCUGAUUCACAGAAUCGGACUCUACAUUUAUAUCAUCAGGGACUGACCAUAUUUUCUUAUCUGAGGUACGAUGUUAAUCUUACCCCACCCACUCGGUUUUGCAUGUGUUUUAAAUGUUCAUUCUGAUGUUACUACGAAAAGUAAAUGUAUAUUCAUUUUAACAUUGUGUGUUUUGAUGACCAUUUGAACUGUUUUUCAUAUUUACAGAUUUAUUUGUAGCUGUGCACCUGUAAAUCGGACUCGUAUAUUUGAACUUGAUUAUCGCUUGAAAUCGCCAAUAAUUGUUCCGAGAUACGAUGCUCAUUAACUCUUUUAAAAGUUACUAAAAUGUCCUAAAUACUUAUGAAAUCAAUAAUAUGUGUUCAAUACUUUAAAUACUUAUCGAAGUUUUCAUAUGACAUCGUGUUUUGUGUCCGUAAUUCAUGAAGAAGUAUGAAAUUUCCAUUUACCUUCUGUGUUGUGUCCGCCAUUACUGUGUUUAAAUCUCGUGGCGCGUGCGAGAUGUGACGAAAUCUCACGUAUAAAAAGUAAAGUGGCGCGAAAUUCAAUUGGUGUAUUGUAAACACCCAGGCUGGCGGUUCGCUCACCAACUGGUAUAAAUACCACAGACUAGUAGUCUAUACCAUCGUAUACCAUCAUAUACCAACCAUGUCACAAGAAGAGGUAGAGUCUUACCGUUAUUGGUAUUAAACAAAUAAACGACUAAGUGGCGUAAUGUUAUAAAUAUAUAAGUUCCUUAUAGGAAUCUCCAUCUCCAGUGUUUAUACCGUGUAUAGUGUUUAUGGAUCUAUCGUAUUAGAUCUACAAGUGCCUAAUAAUCAUUAUACCAAUCGAAAAAGUGCCAAAGUGUGGUAAAUUCAUUUGUUAAUGUUAAACCUAAUUACUUACCAGAAUUAAUAAGAAGAAGAUGUUGCAUACCAGUUAUACCAAAUAUACCAAGUAGAGUUAUACCAAUCAUACCAUCUAUACCAACUGGUAUAUAGUUAGGCUAUACCAAUAGCCCGGAUACUUUUGACAACAUUAGCACUAUAUCUCAGUUAUACAUGUAGUGUACUGUGCGUACAGUGCGUAACAGUAUCUAAUUUGUAUGUUUCCUUGAGUGUCCUUUCUUUUAUAUGAAUAUAAAUCGCAAUAGGUGAAACUUUCGUUUGUGUUUAAGGAAGUCCUAAUGAACUGUAAAGAGGUGUAGUGAUUAAACCAAGGUGCACAGCAAGAAUAUUAUGAACUAAUUUAUAACUAAUGUAAUUUAUGAAUUACUGAGUUUGUGUAUUAUAUGUCAUAAUAAUUAUAAUAGUUUGCACUUGUUAACAUGGUUAAUAAAAGUUCUGUUUAACU
rnacentral:lncRNA from 1 species